rnacentral:rRNA from 1 species
AUUGAACGCUGGCGGCAGGCCUAACACAUGCAAGUCGAACGAGUGGCGGACGGGUGAGUAAUGUCUGGGAAACUGCCUGCUGGCGGGGGAUAACUACUGGAACCGGUAGCUAAUCCCGCAUACCAUCAGAUGUGCCCAGAUGGGCUUAGCUUGUUGGUGGGGUAACGGCUCACCAAGGCGCCGAUCCCUAGCUUGUUGGAGAGGAGGCCCAGCCACACUGGAAAGGAGACACGGUCCAGACGCCUAAGGGAGGGAGCAGUGGGGAAUAGUGCACAAUGGGCGCAAGCCUGAUGCAGCCAUGCCGCGUGUAUGAAGAAGGCCUUCGGGUUGUAAAGUACGUUCAGCGGGGAGGCGUUACCCGCAGAAGAAGCACCGGCUAACUCCGUGCCAGCAGCCGCGGUAAUAC